GGGGAAUUUUGGACAAUGGGGGCAACCCUGAUCCAGCCAUGCCGCGUGCGGGAAGAAGGCCUUCGGGUUGUAAACCGCUUUUAGUCGGGAAGAAAAGGCCGAGGUUAAUACCUUCGGUUUUUGACGGUACCGGCGGAAUAAGCACCGGCUAACUACGUGCCAGCAGCCGCGGUAAUACGUAGGGUGCGAGCGUUAAUCGGAAUUACUGGGCGUAAAGCGUGCGCAGGCGGUUCGUUGUGUCGGUGGUGAAAUCCCCGGGCUUAACCUGGGAAUGGCCAUGGAAACUGGCGAACUGGAGUGUGGCAGAGGGGGGUGGAAUUCCGCGUGUAGCAGUGAAAUGCGUAGAGAUGCGGAGGAACACCGAUGGCGAAGGCAGCCCCCUGGGCUAGCACUGACGCUCAGGCACGAAAGCGUGGGGAGCAAAC
rnacentral:rRNA from 1 species